rnacentral:rRNA from 1 species
GGGGAAUCUUAGACAAUGGGGGAAACCCUGAUCUAGCCAUGCCGCGUGAGCGAUGAAGGCCUUAGGGUUGUAAAGCUCUUUCAGCUGGGAAGAUAAUGACGGUACCAGCAGAAGAAGCCCCGGCUAACUCCGUGCCAGCAGCCGCGGUAAUACGGAGGGGGCUAGCGUUGUUCGGAAUUACUGGGCGUAAAGCGCGCGUAGGCGGAUUGGAAAGUUGGGGGUGAAAUCCCGGGGCUCAACCUCGGAACUGCCUUCAAAACUAUCAGUCUGGAGUUCGAGAGAGGUGAGUGGAAUUCCGAGUGUAGAGGUGAAAUUCGUAGAUAUUCGGAGGAACACCAGUGGCGAAGGCGGCUCACUGGCUCGAUACUGACGCUGAGGUGCGAAAGCGUGGGGAGCAAAC